AAUUAGUAUCAAGAGCAGAGUUAAGUCUCUCUCCAACCUGCCAACUCCGGUAAGGUGGAAAAAUUGAUGCGGCAUUCUGCAAUACAAGGAGAAAGA
rnacentral:ncRNA from 10 species